CUUGACUGGGGCUAGAGAAGCUGCUUCUCUGUGAUGAUCACAGAGCUAUGAUGUUGGCAGAGGCCUCAGUUCCUUGCUGGCUACUGGUAGGAUUUAUUCCUGGCCAUACCAACUGUCCAUGAGCUGCUUGAGUAUCUUCAUAACACAGCAGCUGGCUUCCCCCAGAGUGAGUGACCAAGAGAAAGAGCAAGGAGGAGGCCAUAAUGCCUUUUAUGACAGUCUCAGAAGUCAUAAGUCAGUCCUGUCACAUGCUAUUCUUUAAGCCAGGCAGCUCAUACUCAAAGGCAUUGAGUUCAUGAUCUUUGGUUCAAAUGAAUAUGUGGGCAUCAUUUAGGAAUGGAUACUGAGCAUGACUGGGGAAGACCCUCCUCCACUUCAAAAAUCAUUUCAUGGAGCACCCCUUAACUAUCUGUACCAGCUGAAUCUUGAAUAGCCCACAGAUGAGUGUCCACAUGAACUGAAUUAUCUCACGGCUGGCAGGCAUUAUUGGUCUAACCCGUCCCAUCUUCCGGUUGCCAGAACAGAAAUCAACCAUGAGGCCAGAUGAGAAUACUGAGGCUCCUGAGGGUGAAUGUCUACGAAGAAUACCCUGAGAAACAAAGAAUUGGAGGAGACCCCAUUUUUCCAGGUCCCCGAUCAGGGAUUUUACCCGGCACAUCUCUCCCUAGACUGACAUAUCACAGGUUGGAUUAUGGGGGCACCAAGAACCCAAGCCACUUGGCUCCCUUCAUACCUCUCUAUUUGACACAGACAAAGAGUGACAGCCUCCAUUUGUCACAGAGUAACAAUGUGCCAGGGAGCUGGAGAGGAAAGUACAUUCUGUGCCUGCAGCUCGCCGAUCCUCAGCACUCUAUCCCGGAACUGGGAUGCCCUUGUGUUCACCUUGUCAAGAGGGAGCAGCCAGAUCUCUCUUUUACUGUAAUUGGGUUAGUCUUGUGGGUUUGCCCUCCUCCCAGCUGUCAAAAGAGAUUAUACAGAAAUGGACUGCUGCAUCCACCACAGUCCAGGUGCAGGCUGAGGCCAAAGUAGGAGGAAAUUUCCAAAUGUAUUCAUUAAUCACCCUAAGUACCAGGUUGCUGCUGGCUGCAAUGCUUUCUUCCGACUGCAAUCACUUUUGCUCCAACUGGAGCUCAAAGGUCGCCAUGCGAGCUGCAGUGCCGUCAGCAGAGGCUUGGGUGCAAACA